UACGUAGGGUCCAAGCGUUAAUCGGAAUUACUGGGCGUAAAGCGUGCGUAGGCGGUCUCGCAAGUCCGAUGUGAAAUCCCCGAGCUUAACUUGGGAACUGCGUUGGAAACUAUGAGGCUAGAGUGCGGCAGAGGGGGGUGGAAUUCCAGGUGUAGCAGUGAAAUGCGUAGAGAUCUGGAGGAACACCGAUGGCGAAGGCAGCCCCCUGGGCUGACACUGACGCUCAGGCACGAAAGCGUGGGGAGCAAACAGG
rnacentral:rRNA from 1 species